rnacentral:rRNA from 1 species
GAUGAACGCUGGCGGCGUGCCUAAUACAUGCAAGUCGAGCGAACAGACGAGGAGCUUGCUCCUCUGACGUUAGCGGCGGACGGGUGAGUAACACGUGGAUAACCUACCUAUAAGACUGGGAUAACUUCGGGAAACCGGAGCUAAUACCGGAUAAUAUAUUGAACCGCAUGGUUCAAUAGUAAAAGACGGUUUUGCUGUCACUUAUAGAUGGACCCGCGCCGCAUUAGCUAGUUGGUAAGGUAACGGCUUACCAAGGCAACGAUGCGUAGCCGACCUGAGAGGGUGAUCGGCCACACUGGAACUGAGACACGGUCCAGACUCCUACGGGAGGCAGCAGUAGGGAAUCUUCCGCAAUGGGCGAAAGCCUGACGGAGCAACGCCGCGUGAGUGAUGAAGGUCUUCGGAUCGUAAAACUCUGUUAUUAGGGAAGAACAAAUGUGUAAGUAACUAUGCACGUCUUGACGGUACCUAAUCAGAAAGCCACGGCUAACUACGUG